GACGAACGCUGGCGGCGUGCCUAAUACAUGCAAGUAGAACGCUGAAGGAGGAGCUUGCUCUUCUGGAUGAGUUGCGAACGGGUGAGUAACGCGUAGGUAACCUGCCUGGUAGCGGGGGAUAACUAUUGGAAACGAUAGCUAAUACCGCAUAAGAGUAGAUGUUGCAUGACAUUUACUUAAAAGGUGCAAUUGCAUCACUACCAGAUGGACCUGCGUUGUAUUAGCUAGUUGGUGGGGUAACGGCUUACCAAGGCGACGAUACAUAGCCGACCUGAGAGGGUGAUCGGCCACACUGGGACUGAGACACGGCCCAGACUCCUACGGGAGGCAGCAGUAGGGAAUCUUCGGCAAUGGACGGAAGUCUGACCGAGCAACGCCGCGUGAGUGAAGAAGGUUUUCAGAUCGUAAAGCUCUGUUGUAAGAGAAGAACGAGUGUGAGAGUGGAAAGUUCACACUGUGACGGUAUCUUACCAGAAAGGGACGGCUAACUACGUG
rnacentral:rRNA from 1 species